UUGUGUGAGUUGCUCUGACAGUGUUGCACUACUGUGAUCUCAAAUGAAGCAGUGCAAUAGUAUUGUCAAAGCAUUUCAUUCCAGC
rfam:Xenopus laevis strain J chromosome 1L, whole genome shotgun sequence.